rnacentral:rRNA from 1 species
GAUGAACGCUGGCGGCGUGCCUAAUACAUGCAAGUCGAGCGAACAGACGAGGAGCUUGCUCCUCUGACGUUAGCGGCGGACGGGUGAGUAACACGUGGAUAACCUACCUAUAAGACUGGGAUAACUUCGGGAAACCGGAGCUAAUACCGGAUAAUAUAUUGAACCGCAUGGUUCAAUAGUGAAAGACGGUUUUGCUGUCACUUAUAGAUGGAUCCGCGCCGCAUUAGCUAGUUGGUAAGGUAACGGCUUACAAAGGCAACGAUGCGUAGCCGACCUGAGAGGGUGAUCGGCCACACUGAAACUGAGACACGAUCCAUACUCCUACGGGAGGCAGCAGUAGGGAAUCUGCCGCAAUGGGCGAAAGCCUGACGGAGCAACGCCGCGAGAGUGAUGAAGGUCUUCAGAUCGUAAAACUCUGUUAUUAGGGAAGAACAAAUGUGUAAGUAACUAUGCACGUCUUGACGGUACCGAAUCAGAAAGCCACGGCUAACUACGUG